UACACAGAGCUAAACUGAGGCUGUUAUCCUGCAUGUUUCUAUCAGCCUUUGUAGUUGCUUUUGAUUUAUUUGUGCACUGAUUCUGUGUGCAUGUUGUAUGUUCAGAGCAGCUGCAAGCUAUCAUCGUCUCUUACCUGAUUUUCUGCCUUUCUUGGCUUUGCUUUAGGCAAGUAGUGGUUUGGGGGAGUGUAUCUGAAGAGGAAGAGAAAGGUGCUUCAGUGGAAUCGUUCCUGAUGGAAACACAAGCCAAACAGACUCAAAGAAGCAUUAACUUUUGGAGAAAAAAUACAUAGGCUUUGGGCCCAGUAUAUUCUUGGGGACACUUUCUUGAACAAAGAGAGAUUAACACAUUGGGAUCUGUUACUUUGGCAUAUUGUGAGUGAGCCCUCCAUAGAUGACCCACGAGAACUCUGGAAGCGGAAACAUUGAUUUGCUUAUUUGGGAAGAGACCUACGCAUUUGGAUAAUGGGGCAUUCCAACGUAUAUUGACCUGAAGUUAGAGCGGCUCAUUCAGCAUGGGACAGACGGCUGGGAUUUAGCGAAAAACAAGCCAACUUAAGGUGGAUAUGUAAAAGGGGGAUGAGAUGAAGAGAGUUAUAGCACCUAUUAUACAGUGAACAAGAAGAAGAUGGGGAAUACCGUACUCAUCAUACAUCUAGGAGGGAAUGACACAGGAAGUGGCAUGGUAACAGAACUGAGGGAGCAGAUCGAGGAUGUCUUCAAGUGGUUGGGGGUAGCUUGGAAGGGUGUUAGUCCUAUGUUUCAUGCUGAUAUCCAGACAGCAUUGGAGGUGGGAGACUCAGAGGGCGGUGUAUAGGAACAGAAAAAAGAACAACCAAACGGAAAAGACGGAAGUAAUUAAAAAAUUGGCCUUUGUAUCAGACUUUAGUGAGAUUAGUGUCAAGUUACAUAAAGUAAUGUGUAGGAAUUGGUUUAUGUUAAGGGAUUCUAUGCCUGACAUUGAGGCAUUUAAAAAUCCUCCUUUAUCUUCCUUUAGGAAAGGUAAUUCCAUUGGUAAACAAUUAGUAAGGGCUAAAGUUAAACCCUCAAGGAAUAUUCAAAGGGUGUUUAGACCAAUAGAAAAUGGAACCUUUCCGUGUUUAAGUUGUUCCCAUUGUAACAGCAUUAUUAAAGGUAAAACUAUUAGCCAUCCCUUCUCUGGUAAACUCUUUAAUAUCAAAGGUCACUAUAACUGUAAAUCUUCUUAUGUUGUGUAUGCGCUCAAAUGCCCAUGUGGCCUAUUAUAUAUUGGGGAAACAAUACAACCCCUUAAGGAUCGCUUAACACAACAUAAGCCUACUAUUAGGAACCCUAAAAUGCGACACCUUCCUGUCCCAUACCAUUUUUUUGAGAGGGGACAUCAGGUGAAUCAAUUGAGAUUUAUGGUAUUAGAUCAGGUGUCUAAAGGUACUGUAGGCUUAACAGGGAGAAAAUGUUACUGAAAAAAGAAGCUAUGUGGAUACAUAGACUUAGUACGUUAUACCCUAAAGGCCUUAAUAGGGAAUACAAUCUUACUGGCCUUUUCUAAUUUUUCUGUUGCUUUUUCUUAUAAUUCUUUUUGUAAGGCAUAUUGAAUAAAAAAUUAUGAAAAAUAAUUGAUGGUUGAGUAGGGAAGAACUAGAAUAGGGUUAUAAAUAUAUCAUAUAUUAACAUCUAAUAUUUGGUUCAGAUUUUUAGUGAAGAAAUGUAUAAGGAAUCCAAUUUAAGGUUUAAUUUGUCUAAUUAUGUUUGAUAUUAUAAUUAUUUAAUGAAAAAGAUUGUUUGUAUACAAAGAUGGUUAUUACUUUUGUUAUUAAUUGGUUUUCCUUUAAAAUGGUUUAUUUUUAGUUAAAAUUUGUUGGCACUUUAAAUUACUGACUAGUCACAUCAUGUUGUUUAUGAUGUCAUAAUUGAUAGGGGGUGGGACUGUUUGGCUAUUUAAGAACUGCAUGUUACAUUUAUUUUUAUUGAGCCUGAGGAGGGGGGUGUGAACCCCGAAACGUUGCUCUGUCUGUACUGCUGCCUAAGUAAAAAGCACAUUGAAUUGAA